rnacentral:sRNA from 1 species
GUAAGCAACCCCACGAAUGAAUUCGGGGGCUUUUCGAAGCUCCACUUGCUUGGCCGAGGACUGUGGCGAGUAAACGAUUUCUGAGUCAUGACACCCAAGAAUGCCUCGCCAGUUCUUGGCUCUGUCGCCACAACAAAGAAGGCCGGGAAGGGAAUCCCCGCGCCUCUGGUAAGGCACCCACAAGCUCAGAAAUGCCCCUCCAGGCGAACUUCACACGGCGCUUACGCGC